CAGUCGCCGCGGGAAUACGAAGGGGGCUAGCGUUGUUCGGAAUUACUGGGCGUAAAGGGCGCGUAGGCGGCCAUUCAAGUUAGAUGUGAAAGCCCUGGGCUCAGCCUAGGAAUUGCAUUUGAUACUGUUUGGCUUGAGUUCGGGAGAGGUGAGUGGAAUUCCCAGUGUAGAGGUGGAAUUCGUAGAUAUUGGGAAGAACACCAGUGGCGAAGGCGGCUCACUGGACCGACACUGACGCUGAGGCGCGAAAGCGUGGGGAGCAAACAGGAUUAGAUACCCCGGUAGUCCCUGUCUCUUAUAC
rnacentral:rRNA from 1 species